rfam:Loxodonta africana unplaced genomic scaffold scaffold_264, whole genome shotgun sequence.
GCCUGGGUAGCUCAGUUGGUAGAACAUCAGACUUUUAAUCCGAGGGUCUUGGGUUCAAGUCCCCGUUCAGGCA